GAUGAACGCUGGCGGCGUGCCUAAUACAUGCAAGUCGAGCGAACGGACGAGAAGCUUGCUUUUCUGAUGUUAGCGGCGGACGGGUGAGUAACACGUGGAUAACCUACCUAUAAGACUGGGAUAACUUCGGGAAACCGGAGCUAAUACCGGAUAAUAUUUUGAACCGCAUGGUUCGUAAGUGAAAGACGGUCUUGCUGUCACUUAUAGAUGGAUCCGCGCUGCAUUAGCUAGUUGGUAAGGUAACGGCUUACCAAGGCAACGAUGCAUAGCCGACCUGAGAGGGUGAUCGGCCACACUGGAACUGAGACACGGUCCAGACUCCUACGGGAGGCAGCAGUAGGGAAUCUUCCGCAAUGGGCGAAAGCCUGACGGAGCAACGCCGCGUGAGUGAUGAAGGUCUUCGGAUCGUAAAACUCUGUUAUUAGGGAAGAACAUAUGUGUAAGUAACUGUGCACAUCUUGACGGUACCUAAUCAGAAAGCCACGGCUAACUACGUG
rnacentral:rRNA from 1 species